GAUGAACGCCGGCGGUGUGCCUAAUACAUGCAAGUCGUACGCACUGGCCCAACUGAUUGAUGGUGCUUGCACCUGAUUGACGAUGGAACACCAGUGAGUGGCGGACGGGUGAGUAACACGUAGGUAACCUGCCCCGGAGCGGGGGAUAACAUUUGGAAACAGAUGCUAAUACCGCAUAACAACAAAAGCCACAUGGCUUUUGUUUGAAAGAUGGCUUUGGCUAUCACUCUGGGAUGGACCUGCGGUGCAUUAGCUAGUUGGUAAGGUAACGGCUUACCAAGGCGAUGAUGCAUAGCCGAGUUGAGAGACUGAUCGGCCACAAUGGAACUGAGACACGGUCCAUACUCCUACGGGAGGCAGCAGUAGGGAAUCUUCCACAAUGGGCGCAAGCCUGAUGGAGCAACACCGCGUGAGUGAAGAAGGGUUUCGGCUCGUAAAGCUCUGUUGUUGGAGAAGAACGUGCGUGAGAGUAACUGUUCACGCAGUGACGGUAUCCAACCAGAAAGUCACGGCUAACUACGUGCCAGCAGCCGCGGUAAUACGUAGGUGGCAAGCGUUAUCCGGAUUUAUUGGGCGUAAAGCGAGCGCAGGCGGUUGCUUAGGUCUGAUGUGAAAGCCUUCGGC
rnacentral:rRNA from 1 species